rnacentral:rRNA from 1 species
UACGUAGGGUGCAAGCGUUGUCCGGAAUUAUUGGGCGUAAAGAGCUCGUAGGCGGCUUGUCGCGUCGAAUGUGAAAUCCUGCGGCUCAACUGCAGGCUUGCAUUCGAUACGGGCAGGCUCGAGUUCGGUAGGGGAGACUGGAAUUCCUGGUGUAGCGGUGAAAUGCGCAGAUAUCAGGAGGAACACCGGUGGCGAAGGCGGGUCUCUGGGCCGAUACUGACGCUGAGGAGCGAAAGCGUGGGGAGCAAACAGG